UAGUGGGAGGAGAAACCAAAGUUGGUUUAUUCCUCCAUUGCUGUAGCUAGGAAAGGGGGGAGAAGAAAUUUCCUUGGGUUGUUAAAAUUUUCGGCUAAGGAGAUUGCUAGUUGAAGGGGCUGUUCAAAUAGAGAGGGAAGAAGAGGGCUGCUGCAUGUUUAAUUUUUGAGCUCACUUAGGAGCUGGUUCCUUAAGAAACUCGCUGAAGGUGGCAGCAAGAAGGGGAAAGAAACUGCUCAAGAGUAGGUUCAGCUGCUGUUCAGUAAGUCCUUGCAAUGAAACUUUGAAAAAUUUCCAUGUUUAUACUCUGUUUAAUACAUGUUAGUUGUUACCAAAAUACUAGUGUUAGAAGUGAAGAAGAGUUGAUAAAUAAAUGUAUAAGUUGGUGUUGAAACUUGCUGUUGAAGGCUGAUAGUUUCAGCAUGUAAUUGCUGUAGUUUAUCGUGCAAUAAAUCCUGGUGUAAUUGAUCUGCUGCUGCUCUAAUUAAGGUAAAAUGUUGGUUAAUCAAUGUCCUGUUUUGUGGUAAUAAGCAAAAUAUAAAGAUGGUUGAAAUUAACAUGCAUUACUGUUCGGUUUAUGUUUGAAGAGUUAUUAACUUUUGGAGGUUAAAACAGUUUAAUUUGGGAUUUACAUUUUCAAAUUUCAGUUUUAGUAAUGUCCCAUUAUUAUUGGUUGAAGCUAAGGAAAUAAGCAUUUGUUGAAAGGAUGUAGGGAACUGAAUUGUCUGAAAAUUAUUUGCUGUCAGCUAGUGAAAUUUUAAUGUUCGAAUGUAUGCUGAAUUUUUAAGUGUCCGAAUGCAUGCCAGAAUUUAACAUGUUCAAAUGCACGCUGGAGUAUUUUGUUUAGGUAGGUUAAAUGUGUCUGAUAUUCAAACCGUCUAUACACUAGAGUCGUUGUACCGUUUCAAACAGGACAAGAACUCAUGUACUUAAAAUUGAGCUAUCAUGUUGCACGAUCUUGUAUGGUAAAUUAAAUGAAAAUCGGCGACAUUAAUAUCAAAUUUCAAUUCAAAAUAUAGGUAAGUACUGGAUAUAUGAAAUUAUGUAAAUAUUUAAAUUAUGAUGCAUGAUUUAUGUGUAUAGAAAUGAAAUGUCUUUAGUGAGAACUCGAUGAUGUGUAUUUGUGAGCAUGCAUGUGCAUUAGAUGCUAAGUGGGAAAAUCGGUUAACAUGUUGUGUGUAUUAUGGCCGAAUGUGAAUCUGGAUAAUAUUGAGUAAUGUUUGUGUUUAAAAAUGAUGAAACGAAGUUUAUGCUUAAGUGAAAUUAUAGGUAUGUGAUGAUUGAUUUGUGAUAUGCAUGUUUAAAUAACAUGCAUGCAAGGUAUGUGUGAAAGAGUGAAUUGGUACUAAAUCUGCUUGGGACAGCGGCAGUAACGUGAUUUUGGAAAAUCACCAUAAAUUUUGGGAGAUGAGUUAGAAGUUGAAUAAAUUAUGUAAUUAAAGCUUAAUGAGUCUAGUUUCUUAUAAAAGAAACCGUGUAAGCAAAAGAAUUGCCUAUAAUAAGAUAUUUGAAGUGAUGUGGGACAGGGUCAAAAUGACUUCUAGAUCCCCUGUUCUGUUUUUAUAAAAUCAUUAUAAAUUGUAAAAAAAUGGUUAUAAGAUGAAUUUUAUAUGCUUAGAAUCCUUAAUGAGUCUAGUUUCAAAUGAAAUAAACAAAAAUAUAUUUUGAAUUAUGUACAAUGAGAAUUUUGAUUCGUAGUGAAGAAUGGUCAGACUAGUCAAACAGUGAAACAAGGGAAAACUUUAAGAAAAAUCUGGUAUUUAUUUGCCAAACCAAAAAUUCUGAAAAUUUUAUGGAUAAAAUAUAUAUGAGUUUAUUUUCAGGAAAAAUUAACGGUACUUGAUUUGGAGUUUCGUAGCUCCAGUUAUAAAUGAUUUAGUGACUGUUGCUCGAGAAAAACAGCUUGUAGUGAAUUUGUGAUUAAGUAGUAAACAUUGAUAAAACUGUUUGAGUUGCUUAUAAACUAUCAAUUAAAAUUUUAAUCAAAGUACCGGAUCCGUAUUAAAGUGAGGCUAUAAGCCGUAAAUGACUAGUAUACCUAGUCAAUUUUGUUAUGAUGAAAUUGAUGUACAAGAUAUAUAUAUGUGGUAAAGCCGAAUGGCUAAUGUAAAAUAUGUAUGAGAUAUAUAUAUGUGGUAAAGUCGAAAGGCUAAUGUGAAAUAUGUAUGAGCCAUGCAUAUGUGGUAAAGCCAAAUGGCUAAUGUGAAAUAUGUAUGAGAUGUGUAUAUAUAUUGUGGCCGAAUAACAAAUUGUGAAAGGUGUGUAUUAGUAGAUAUUUGAUGAGGCAAAUGAAUUACAAAUAUGAUAGUCGAUGUGAAUGUUGUAACAUGGGAUUAAAUGCACAUGAAACUUGGAAAUAUAUUCCUGGUACGACCCGAUGACUACGUUUGGGGAUUAUCCGAGCUAAAGGUCUCGCUGAUGAUUCGAGUAAAGCGUAAGAUUAUAUGACUUCACAGUAACAAUUGUUAAUAAAUACGUUCAAUGCGUUAAGUUGGACAGGUAUGUAUUCUGAGCUUAUAUUUAAGCUUGAUUUGAAUUAAAUCACAAGGUUGUUAUGUGAUGCAUAUGUGAGUAAAACAAUAAGACUGUUUCUAUGAUUAUUGCGCAUUUGGUCAAUGUGAAAAGUUAGGUGAAAAUAUGUAAUGUACCUAUGUUUAUAAGAGAUCACUAUCAAGUGAGAAUUUAUCUGCUUAUUGUGUAUUACGUAAUUGUGUAUAUUCGGCCAAAAAAAAGGGCAGUAUACCUAGAAAGAGGUUAUAUGAGAAUUCGUAAGAUCGACUUUAAUUUGGUUGGUCAGGUAUGUGAUAAAUACUUGUACGUGUUAGACCCAUCAGAAUUAAAUCAUGAUUGUAAAGUGGAAAGCAAAUAUGAAAAUGCCAUAUGAAUAUGUGGGUAUAUAGUUAUGGAGAAAUAUUAUAGCAUAUUGGGAGAUAUACAUUUUGACUUGACCGAUGAGGGUAACUAUAGAUAUGAAAUGAAAUGAUAUAUAUAUGAAUCAAAUAAACAAAUUGGUUAUAUUUGAGUUCAAGAGUUUUUUUUUUAAUUUGCUUAAGACUUACUAAGCUUAUAAAAGCUUACUCUGUUGUUAUGUUUCUCUGUUUUAUAGAUUGUUGAAUUUGGC
rnacentral:lncRNA from 1 species